UACGAAGGGGGCUAGCGUUGUUCGGAAUUACUGGGCGUAAAGCGCGUGUAGGCGGGUCUUUAAGUCAGGGGUGAAAUGCCAAGGCUCAACCUUGGAACUGCCUUUGAUACUGGAGACCUUGAGUCCGGGAGAGGUGAGUGGAAUUGCGAGUGUAGAGGUGAAAUUCGUAGAUAUGUGGAGGAAUACCGAUGGCGAAGGCAGCCCCCUGGGAUAAUACUGACGCUCAUGCACGAAAGCGUGGGGAGCAAACAGG
rnacentral:rRNA from 1 species